rnacentral:rRNA from 1 species
GGCUCGCGGCCUAUCAGCUUGUUGGUGGGGUGAUGGCCUACCAAGGCUUUGACGGGUAGCCGGCCUGAGAGGGUGACCGGUCACAUUGGGACUGAGAUACGGCCCAGACUCCUACGGGAGGCAGCAGUGGGGAAUAUUGCACAAUGGGCGAAAGCCUGAUGCAGCGACGCCGCGUGAGGGAUGGAGGCCUUCGGGUUGUAAACCUCUUUCGCUCAUGGUCAAGCCGCAACUUAGGGUUGUGGUGAGGGUAGUGGGUAAAGAAGCGCCGGCUAACUACGUGCCAGCAGCCGCGGUAAUACGUAGGGCGCGAGCGUUGUCCGGAAUUAUUGGGCGUAAAGGGCUUGUAGGCGGUUGGUCGCGUCUGCCGUGAAAUCCUCUGGCUUAACUGGGGGCGUGCGGUGGGUACGGGCUGACUUGAGUGCGGUAGGGGAGACUGGAACUCCUGGUGUAGCGGUGGAAUGCGCAGAUAUCAGGAAGAACACCGGUGGCGAAGGCGGGUCUCUGGGCCGUUACUGACGCUGAGGAGCGAAAGCGUGGGGAGCGAACAGGAUUAGAUACCCUGGUAGUCCACGCUGUAAACGUUGGGCACUAGGUGUGGGGGCCACCCGUGGUUUCUGCGCCGUAGCUAACGCUUUAAGUGCCCCGCCUGGGGAGUACGGCCGCAAGGCUAAAACUCAAAGGAAUUGACGGG